rnacentral:rRNA from 1 species
AAGAGACAGCAGCAGCCGCGGUAAUACAGAGGGUGCGAGCGUUAAUCGGAUUUACUGGGCGUAAAGCGUGCGUAGGCGGCUUCUUAAGUCGGAUGUGAAAUCACUGAGCUUAACUUAGGAAUUGCAUUCGAUACUGGGAAGCUAGAGUAUGGGAGAGGAUGGUAGAAUUCCAGGUGUAGCGGUGAAAUGCGUAGAGAUCUGGAGGAAUACCGAUGGCGAAGGCAGCCAUCUGGCCUAAUACUGACGCUGAGGUACGAAAGCAUGGGGAGCAAACAGGAUUAGAUACCCCCGUAGUCCCUGUCUCUUAUAC